GUGUGGGCCCCGCAGUCCUCUAGGCACAGAUAACAGUGGCUUGUAACUAUGAUAUGUUAAUGGACAUUUACAUACCAAAACUGAAGGAUUAGGAACUUUGUGUAGGAGCAAUCGAAGCAUUGAAAGCUCAGAUUGUGAUUUCCUGCUCAUGGAUGGAGCCCUGAAUUGUACUGGAAUGCCUACAUGAAGGUCCUAACACUGCCUUAAGAGAAAGGAAAACAUCCAACAACACCAAGAGAAUUUCCUAAGAAAAACCCGUAAUAAAAGGACCCUCAGUCUUUCUCAGCGGAGUAUGACAUGCCUAUUGGAUUAAAAAUGCA